UUCAAUCUGCUGUUGUUUCCACCCAGCAUGCUACUUGCAGACCAUAACUCUACAAGAAAAUGAUGACAUAGAUUGGUGAUGUUGUGCAGUGCAGACAUCCAGAACAGAUUGGAUCUCCUCUCUUCAAGUAAAGUCAGCCAUUCCUAGCUGUCACACUGGCCCCUGGAGACUGCUGGAAGUUGUCACGCUGAGGUGGAGCUGCACUCUGGUUGUUCUAGUUAUGUCAAGGUAUUGGCCAAGCCAGUCAUGGCUGACAGAGCCCAAAGCUGCUGUAAGCCACUUUUCCAUGCAUCAUUCUUCUGUACAUGCUUUGUGUGCCCUGGGUAAAGCCAUGGCUCUGAGCCAUUUUCCAGACUCCUCUUAUUCCUGCUUUCCAUUCUCAAAGAAAGUGUUUAUGAUUUAAGGUAAGUUAUUUUCAUUAGAAAAAUUAGUCUGAUUAUGCCUUUUGUUUGUUUAACUGAAGCAAAUACUGUAUCUGAACUGCAAGUCCAAUAGACAGUGUCUCAUAGCUAUAGCAUGCUCAUUAGUACUGCUCUCUCUAUUUAAUCUUUCAUUUAGGUGACAAAUAUAUAAAACCCUCUUUUGGAUUGAGUACUUUAUCAGUUAAGUAUCUAACGGGACCACUACAUUUUAUUUAUUCUGAUAAAUUUUUGCAGAUGUUGUCACCAGGUGACCACCUAAGUUUCUGUGAACGGGUACUAGUUUCAGACAAGAGUGUGUCUGCAAUUACGAUGUAGGCUAAAACCACUCACUUUUGGUCUCAUUUCAUCCCACUGCAUCUCUCUUCAAUUACAGGCACAUGUAAUGCAUGCACUUACCUACUGUACAGAGGUGGUUUUAUUCCCAUAACAGAGAAGCAGUUUAGCAUGAAGAUCAAGAUCAUUGGUUUACAUCCACUGGGAUUGGAUUAUACUACUCUUUGAUACUACAUUUUUACAGAUAGAGCAGUGAUAGGAAGCUGUCUGGAAGGCAUCUUUCAAAGCUGAAACAUCAGCUGCAUUCUUUAAUGUCAUCGCUUUCCAUGCUACGUCAUUUGCUUUUUACUUAAGUCCUUACAUUAUAUGUGCUGUAUUGUUGGAUCAUUCUAAAAGGUCAGUCUGAGAGAAGCCAGAUUUAGGUUUUAUUCAGCCUGCACCUCACCUAUCAAUCUCCAGGUGAUGCUCAGAUCACUUCUACCUUUAAGGACAAAAUCAGAACACUAUGAGCAGAUGCACAGCUUUCCUUCUGAAAUUAAAAUCACAGAUAAUGACUUUACUAAUACUUUUUAGCACCAGCCAUUAAUGAUGCUGCUGAAAUCUGCCAUUUGCUUUGAUCAGUUUGUUUCAAUUCCCCGGUUUUCCUCUUACCUUUACUUCCCUGAUUUCCCAAACUUUAUCUUUCUGAUGAAACAGAUGUCAACUUGCUAUGUCUUACAGUGCUGUCAAGUAUUACUGCAUGCAGAUAUGUUCCUGAGCAUGUGUGAUCUGAUUAAAGCAUAGAGUGAUGAGGAUUGUAUUGGAUUCCCUGCUGUUUGCUGUCGUGUUGCCUACUCGGAGGUAAACAAUUUUAGCCAGGAUUUUUUAAAAUGUAUAAGACUUUUAUGAAAGCCAUCCUUAAAAAAGUUGUACUUCAAUUCUCCACCUGAACCACAGGUAUAAUAUAAUUUCUUUUCAGAAGAUAUUGUGAAGAGGCUUUCAUCAGUGACAUACUGCACUACUGUAGGUGAAGGUACUGCAGCUGGGCUUACAGGAAUCCAAAAGUUGUUCAUGCAUGUUACAGGAUGAUCUUGUUAUGCUCUCACCUUUGCUAUUUCAGAUGGCUGUUGGCUUUCUAAACAUGUCAGAGGUUUAGAAAAUAGAAAAAAAUCACUGCAAUGCAGCUGUGAAUGCACUAGGGAAAGCGAUGUUAUGCAAGUUAGCUGAUAAUGAAUUUCUGAGCCAAUAUCAGAAGAAAAGGAUAAAUGUGAAGAGGUCUCUCCUGAAAGUGGAAGGAUGUAAUUUUCCACACCAUUGUACCCAAAUCACCUCCUAGUAGUUUCUGAACUGAAUUAUGCUUAAGAUAUAAUGAACUACAUUUUCUGAAGGACACUUUGAUAAUGAGCAGAUCUUUGUAUCUUUAAAGAUGGUAGGAGUAACACCUCUUAUGAUGUCAUAUAAUUUGCUAAGGUUUAGUGAGCUUCAAUCUGACAUACCUUCUCUAUGUAAAGAUAGCCUAUACAUCUCUAUAUAAACCUGCUGAAACACAGAUUCAUAAGUGAGAGACCCUAUCCUACCUUUCUCUUAAAGGUAGGAUACUUAUGAAUGACCUCAGAGCAAGAAGAGUUUACUGAACAAGUUUAAAGAAAUCAUUGUAGUUAACUCUAAGUCCAUGUUUAGUUAGUUAUAGUGUAGCUAUACAGGUAAACUAGACGGGGAGCCUUUAUCUUCCAGCUGGUUUUGGGACAUGAAAUACGACCAAAUUAAUCUUAGGCUCUGUAUAUUGCAGCUUCUCAACCUUUUCCCUGUACCUCACCAAUAAAAAGGGUUUACAACCUCUCAAA